UACGUAGGAGGCGAGCGUUGUCCGGAAUUAUUGGGCGUAAAGCGCGUGUAGGCGGCUUUGCAAGUCGGGUGUGAAAUCCCUCAGCUUAACUGAGGAAGUGCGCCCGAAACUGCCGAGCUUGAAUACCGGAGAGGAUGGCGGAAUUCCCCAAGUAGAGGUGAAAUUCGUAGAUAUGGGGAGGAACACCGGUGGCGAAGGCGGCCAUCUGGACGGCUAUUGACGCUGAGACGCGAAAGCAUGGGGAGCAAACAGG
rnacentral:rRNA from 1 species